GUGGAACAGUAAAGGUGAUUGGGAACAGGUGGUCCAAUUAAUUACUGGCCAGCACGAGCACACCCGCCAAGUUUGGGAGGAAAAUAAAUGAGCAUGCCAAAAUACAGAUUUAAUGAGAGGAGAGAGACACAAACAUUGAGCUCUACAGGACAACGCAUCGAGCCCUUAAUAGACAGUAAGCACCCCACUGUCCAAACAGCAACUAGCAGCAAUAACAUCUGCUCCCUGUGGAGCCUACAUGAACCAUGCAGAGGGUUUGAUGGCAUCAAACCUUCACACUUCCCUCAAGGGACAGCAGUCGAUUUCUGAGAGAUUGGUCUUCAGGAUGAACUUCUGAGGAAACCCACCAACCAGCCAAUUACGGUGAUUACAGAUUGAGUUUUUGUGAGAUUGUCUUUCUGACGUCCAGCCUUUCAUAUUACACUCCUGGCUCUUGGCUACUAAUACAUCAGCAUGCAUUGGGAAACCUCCAAAUGAUGCAUAGUCACUC